rnacentral:rRNA from 1 species
UACAGAGACUGCAAGCGUUAUUCGGAUUCACUGGGCGUAAAGGGUGCGCAGGCGGCCGUGUGUGUGAGGCGUGAAAGCCCGGGGCUUAACCCCGGAAUUGCACCUCAAACUACAUGGCUAGAGCAUUGGAGAGGGUAGCGAAUUCAUGGUGUAGCAGUGAAAUGCGUAGAUAUCUGGAGGAAUACCGGGUGGCGAAGGCGGCAUCCUGGACCGGCAUUGACGCUGAGGAGGCGAAAG